GGACGAACGCUGGCGGCGUGCCUAACACAUGCAAGUCGAACGAGGUCCAUCCUUCGGGAGAAGACCUAGUGGCGAACGGGUGAGUAACACGUGAAGAACCUGCCCCGAAGACCGGGAUAACCCUCCGAAAGGAGAGCUAAUACCGGAUACCCCCACCGAACCGCAUGGUUGGUGAGGAAAUGGAUUCCGCUUCGGGAGGGCUUCGCGGCCUAUCAGCUAGUUGGUGGGGUAACGGCCCACCAAGGCAUCGACGGGUAGCUGGUCUGAGAGGACGAUCAGCCACACUGGGACUGAGACACGGCCCAGACUCCUACGGGAGGCAGCAGUGGGGAAUCUUGCGCAAUGGGCGAAAGCCUGACGCAGCAACGCCGCGUGGGGAUGAAGGCUCUCGGGUUGUAAACCCCUUUCAGCAGGGACGAAUCAAGACGGUACCUGCAGAAGAAGCCCCGGCUAACUACGUG
rnacentral:rRNA from 1 species